GGUUAGAUGGUCGAGUGGUCUAAGACGUAGGAUUAAGGUUCCUAUCCUUUCGAGGGCGUGGGUUCAAACCCCACUCUAAUCAC
rnacentral:tRNA from 1 species